AGAGUUUGAUCCUGGCUCAGGACGAACGCUGGCGGCGCGCCUAACACAUGCAAGUCGAACGAGAGAUGAGGAGCUUGCUCUUCAAAUCGAGUGGCGAACGGGUGAGUAACGCGUGAGGAACCUGCCUCAAAGAGGGGGACAACAGUUGGAAACGACUGCUAAUACCGCAUAAGCCCACGGCUCGGCAUCGAGCAGAGGGAAAAGGAGCAAUCCGCUUUGAGAUGGCCUCGCGUCCGAUUAGCUAGUUGGUGAGGUAACGGCCCACCAAGGCGACGAUCGGUAGCCGGACUGAGAGGUUGAACGGCCACAUUGGGACUGAGACACGGCCCAGACUCCUACGGGAGGCAGCAGUGGGGAAUAUUGCACAAUGGGGGAAACCCUGAUGCAGCGACGCCGCGUGGAGGAAGAAGGUCUUCGGAUUGUAAACUCCUGUUGUUGAGGAAGAUAAUGACGGUACUCAACAAGGAAGUGACGGCUAACUACGUGCCAGCAGCCGCGGUAAAACGUAGGUCACAAGCGUUGUCCGGAAUUACUGGGUGUAAAGGGAGCGCAGGCGGGAGAACAAGUUGGAAGUGAAAUCCAUGGGCUCAACCCAUGAACUGCUUUCAAAACUGUUUUUCUUGAGUAGUGCAGAGGUAGGCGGAAUUCCCGGUGUAGCGGUGGAAUGCGUAGAUAUCGGGAGGAACACCAGUGGCGAAGGCGGCCUACUGGGCACCAACUGACGCUGAGGCUCGAAAGUGUGGGUAGCAAACAGGAUUAGAUACCCUGGUAGUCCACACCGUAAACGAUGAUUACUAGGUGUUGGAGGAUUGACCCCUUCAGUGCCGCAGUUAACACAAUAAGUAAUCCACCUGGGGAGUACGACCGCAAGGUUGAAACUCAAAGGAAUUGACGGGGGCCCGCACAAGCAGUGGAGUAUGUGGUUUAAUUCGA
rnacentral:rRNA from 1 species